GCACCCGUAGUUUAAUGGCUAGAAUCCGGGCCUUCCAAGCCUGUGAUCCGGGUUCGAAUCCCGGCGGGUGCA
rnacentral:tRNA from 1 species